CAGAUAGUAAUUUAAAUAAAAAUAUUGGCUUUGGAGGCUAAAAAUCAUAAAUGUGUUAUCUGA
rnacentral:tRNA from 1 species